UAUCACUAAGCGGAGGAAAAGAAACUAACAAGGAUUCCCCCAGUAACGGCGAGUGAACAGGGAAAAGCCCAGCACCAGAAGCCUGUGGCCAUUUGGUUACUAGGCAAUGUGGUGUUUAGGUCGUUCCGCAGAUGCUCUGCUCCACCCUAAGUCCAUCAAUGAGUACGGUAGUAUGGACAUGGCCCAUAGAGGGUGAAAGGCCCGUGGGGGUGGAGAUUCGGCUGGUCAGAGUGUCUCUGGGUAGACCUUGGAGUCGGGUUGUUUGUGAAUGCAGCCCAAAGUGGGUGGUAAACUCCAUCCAAGGCUAAAUACUUGCACGAGUCCGAU
rnacentral:rRNA from 1 species